AAUCAGUUGCCUUCCCCACCCUCACACUUCUCAAUGCCAACUAUAGACCGUCGUUUCACUACGAGGUGCACAUCACGGAAUUCGUGCCUCACAACUUCGAUUAUAUCGUUCACCGAUUGCAAGGCUGCCUUUCUUCGGAAUCUUACGCUAUACUUUGAGUCUCAAUUUUGGUGCUGAAACUGCUGCUGAUGAGACCUUCUCCAAUGCGACGAAUGAGUGAGAUAAACCACUCUGAUUCCUCCGCCUUUCUAGUUCACCUUAUAUCUUCCCCUUCAAUGACAUCACAAAUAAAUCACCAACUCUGCCUUACUCUAUCAAGGAACAUGUUGCGCCCAUUUUUUGAGGUGUUUGGCCUCGACUUCACACGCGCAGAGGAGAAGCUUCCAUCUAGGCUGCGUGAGAUUGUGCACUCGUUUCAGGCGGUUGGGAAGCAUUGCGCUCGAUACCAGCACUUGCCGAUACAUACAGAUGCUGAAGCUUGUAGUUGAGAAGUUUUGCACUCCAGAGAAUAAGUUGGGCUUUCUGACGGAGGUUCUGGCGGAAGCUUAGCCUCGUGAAACGCCAUCGGCUCAUCCUGGGGCUACUGCAGGAGGAGCUUCAAAACGGUUUGCAUCCUCUCUCCCUUGUCACCAAAACCCGUCUGUGAUUUCUGAUUAACUGCAGAGUCGCAAUUGCCCAGGCCAUGUCAGUCUGUCCCCAAAAUCACCCUGAAGUGAGACUUUAGACGCGGCGACUAAAUGUGGCGAAAAACCCCCUACAGCUCUAGAGCACCUAACUGCAACAUUUACUAAUACACCAGAUAGUUUUGAUAUCCACUUUAACUCGUUUCCAAUUUCUCAGUCCAAGUAUGAUCUGGCUACGUGCUGAAUUGUGGAUCAAUGUGUUUUUAUGGGAUACUGGGGAUCUUAUUGUCCUGAUUGGAAGCUUCGCUGUCCAUUUAAUCUGAUGAGGGCACAAGUCAGUGAUCGAAAAUUGAAAGGACUGUAAACACGAACAUCAACAAAGCGAAAUUACGAAAGUAUCUGGGAAUGGAAACGGUCAAAUGCUUUUCGGCACAUCCCUGUGUGAAACCUGAAAAUCACAUUUCACUUGGUUAAAGGAUCUUAGAUAUUUCCUUUCUCGAAUCAAGUGGUACUUGGAACAUUGCUCUCAGUACAGUGUCGGGAAUGACGCAAUCUGGACUGAGGGAAAUGUGCAAACUCUUGCAGUACCAGCCCGUUGCAGAAUCUUGGCUGAAGAAAAGCCAUCUGCGUCGUUGUAUGGAUUCGUUCUGCACACUGACUUCGCAAAACCUUGUAAAAUUCCGUGGGUGUCUUAUAAGCUAGCAGAUAGCAGGUGUGUCCCUCCUUCUCUGAGUAAGCUGUUGCUGCUUCAAGGACUGCACAGAGGAUCACAAAUCAUUGUUCCACAAUAUCUCCUGCAGCACCACUUCACAGUCAGACUGAACAGUGUAUGUCAGACGGAUUGAGCCUGUGAACCUCAAUAUCAUCCUCCGGAAGAGAACUAUUUAAAACUAUUCCGCAGUUGACAAUAUAUAUGUAAAAGAAUGCCGAGGGCUCACUGCAGCACUUUUGGUAGUCUUCCACCGCACCAGACACCAGUGUCUAGCGACAACGACGGGGACGACGACGACGAAGGCUUCAACAUGAAAUUAGCAUCGACUCGUCAGCUGGGUACGCGCCUCAGAGGUUCCAAAACUUGUCUAGUUGCUUUCGCGCAUGGGAGAGAGUGCCGUGAUUGCAACCAUAGCGAUCGUCAGAGUCAUUAGGUCGCGUCAACCCCAUCUCUCUUACAUCGGAACCGGUGAUGGGUACGUCGAUGGGCCAACAUUCCAGCAAAUUCCACAGGCUUCGAUCAUGCAGUUCUGCGCGGCGCUGACGAGCACCAUCUACUCUGACGGACGGGGACGCACCAGCGGCCGUGGCAUGAUAGACUGAAGUCAUCGACGAAGCACGUGCAGGACUGAGACAGUUCGCCGACUGGGUCCAGCACAGCACAUCAACGGCAGGACUGAGUAGACAAAGGGGGAGGGGAGGGGAGGUUGUGGGUGCAGUUGCGGUGCGGUGUUUUCUCUGUGAUCGCAGUACGUUGACAGGGGGGCAGGAUUGGCGUGGGAGCAACCGGCGCAAGCAGCUCUGCCAGGGGCGGUGGCGCGGUGGCGGAGAGAGAGAGGGGAUCGCUGUGCGAUGGCUGCUGCAGCGGCGCAGCGGCGCCCAUAAGUCCAUCGCCACCUCAGCUGGAGAUCAGACAAGGCCUCUUGAGCCCUGACUAGCCUAGAAUGCAACCAAAAAACAAAAAACCAGAAAAACCAGAAAAACAAUAUGAUAAUAUCUCAACAUGGCGCUUCUAUUCACCUACGCAUCCAUCUCUCUCUCUCUCUCUCUCUCUCUCUAUCUAUCUAUCUAUAUAUCUAUGUUUCUCUCUGUGUAUAUUUUAAUAAAUUUGUGCUUGAUACAUGAUA